ensembl:lncRNA
CGGAAGUGCCGCAGCAGCGGAGCGGCGCAGCGGUGGGGGAGGGGGUUAAAAUGGAGACUGCGAGCCAGAGGGGCUUGGGGGGGGGGACGGCCAUACUGGUGCCAUACUGGUCCAUACUGGUGCCAUACUGGUGCCAUACUGGUGUCAUACUGGUGCCAUACUGGUCCCUAUUGGUCCCCACUGGUCCAUACUGGUCCAUACUGGUGCCCACUGGUCCUUACUGGUCCAUAGUGGUCCAUACUGGUGCCAUACUGGUCCGUACUGGUCCAUGCUGGUCCAUACUGGUGCCAUACUGGUCCAUACUGGUGCCAUACUGGUGCCAUACUGGUGUCAUACUGGUGCCAUACUGGUCCCUAUUGGUCCCCACUGGUCCAUACUGGUGCCAUACUGGUGCCCACUGGUCCUUACUGGUCCAUAGUGGUCCAUUCUGUUGCCAUAGUGGUCCCUACUGGUCCAUACUGGUCCAUACUGGUGCCAUACUGGUCCCUAUUCAUCCAUACUGGUCCCUACUGGUGCCAUACUGGUCCGUACUGGUCCAUGCUGGUCCAUACUGGUGCCAUACUGGUCCCAAUUCGUCCAUACUGGUCCCUUACUGGUGCCAUACUGGUGUCAUACUGGUGUCAUAGUGGUCCAUACUGGUCCCUACUGGUGCCAUACUGGUGCCCACUGGUCCCAUUCUGGUGCCAUACUGGUGCCAUACUGGUGUCAUACUGGUCCAUAGUGGUCCAUACUGGUGCCAUUCUGGUGCCAUACUGGUGUCAUACUGGUCCAUUCUGUUGCCAUACUGGUCCAUACUGGUCCAUACUGGUCCAUGCUGGUGCCAUACUGGUCCCUAUUCAUCCAUACUGGUCCCUACUGGUGCCAUACUGGUGUCAUACUGGUGUCAUACUGGUCCAUUCUGUUGCCAUACUGGUCCCCACUGGUCCAUACUGGUCCAUGCUGGUGCCAUACUGGUGCCAUACUGGUGACAUAUUGGUCCCUAUUGGUCCCCACUGGUCCAUACUGGUCCAUACUGGUGCCAUACUGGUGCCCACUGGUCCCAUUCUGGUGCCAUACUGGUGUCAUACUGGUCCUUACUGGUCCAUGCUGGUCCAUACUGGUGCCAUACUGGUGCCCACUGGUCCCAUUCUGGUGCCAUACUGGUCCAUACUGGUCCAUACUGGUCCAUACUGGUGCCAUACUGGUCCAUACUGGGCCCACCCCGAAGCCCUCGGUCAGAAGGCGGCGUCACUCCGUCUCCGAGCAACGCAUCACGUGACUAGUCAACUUCCGGUCUAGCCACCACCCACUUCUUGCUCUCACACCCCCCCUUUUGUACGUCCACUUCCGCUUUCUGCCACGCGUCACUUCCGGCGCGACGCAUCCCACCCCCACCCAUUUUUCUCUUACUCCUCCUUUUGUACCCCCACUUCCGCUUCUGCCACGCGUCACAUCCGGCGCGACGCUUCCCCCCCCCUUCUCCCCACCCCCCAUCAUGGCGGACCCUCCGGUUCUCUCCGUUCCUCCGGGAACGGCGGAAAACGGCGCGGCGGUGCGGAUCCCGACCCCACCCCGGGGAGAAGCGGGGCCCGGGCCCCCCCCGCCUCCUCCCCCACCUCCGCCGCCUCCUCCCCCGCCUCGGGAAGCGGAAGUGGCGGUGGAGAUCGGGGAAACCUAUUUGUGCCGGAGGGCGGACGGCAGCUGGCGUGAGUGCGGCCUGCGGGGGGGGAAUGGGGGCCUAUGGGGCGGAA